CCUACGGGUGGCAGCAGUGGGGAAUAUUGCACAAUGGGCGAAAGCCUGAUGCAGCAACGCCGCGUGAAGGAAGAAGGUUUUCGGCUCGUAAACUUCUAUCAACAGGGACGAAAGAAAUGACGGUACCUGAAUACGAAGCCCCGCCUAACUACGGGCCAGCAGCCCCGGGAAUACGUAGGGGGCAAGCGUUAUCCGGAAUUACUGGGGGUAAAGGGUGAGUAGGCGGCAUGGUAAGCCAGAUGGGAAAGCCUUGGGGUUAACCCGGAGAAUGCAUUUGGAACUAUCAAGCUAGAGUGCAGGAGAGGAAAGCGGAAUUCCUAGUGUAGCGGUGAAAUGCGUAGAUAUUAGGAAGAACACCAGUGGCGAAGGCGGCUUUCUGGACUGAAACUGACGCUGAGGCACGAAAGCGUGGGGAGCGAACAGGAUUAGAUACCCCUGUAGUC
rnacentral:rRNA from 1 species